UACAUGACUCUCCGCAACGGAUAUCUCGGCUCUCGCAUCGAUGAAGAACGUAGCGAAAUGCGAUACCUGGUGUGAAUUGCAGAAUCCCGCGAACCAUCGAAUCUUUGUACGCAAGUUGCACCCGAGGCCACUCGGCCGAGGGCAUGCCUGCUUGGGCGUCAUGC
rnacentral:rRNA from 1 species